rnacentral:rRNA from 1 species
AUGGUGGUCCUCAAGUUGGAUUUCCAAAAGGCGUUCGACACUGUCAGCUGGGCAUGCCUCUUCAGCAUUCUUCAAGCCCGUGGUUUCCCUUCGCAAUGGAUUAGCUGGAUUUCAUCGCUUCUGACCACGGCUAGCUCCAGAAUCAUGCUCAGUGGUGAGCUUGGGGAGUCUUUCGUUGCAAAAAGAGGUUUUCGUCAGGGCGACUCCAUCUCGCCG